AUGAGCCCUACUGCAGAUGUAGUGGCAGCACUACAGGCUGGACAGAGAGCGAUCUGUUUGGACAGGCUGAAGGCUGUUCAUGCCCUGCUGAGCUCAACAUGUGUAGAGGUUGAUGGGCAUGUUUCACCCUCCACCAGCUCAGCCGCCUCCUUCAGCCCACAAGAAGAAAAGGAGCAGAAAACGUCUACCUCCACCCCUCACCGACAGGAAAUGUUUUUGGAGAAAACUAAACACAUCUGCUCUGAGAUCAGGAAUUUACUGAAGCCUGAUUGCAAUUCAGCCACCAUUACAGAGGUGAAGUGUCACACUGUCAUAUAUAUUCUAAACGUUGUUAGUGUAGUAUUAUUUAUAUACUGUUAUAGCAUUUAUUAA
ensembl:lncRNA